UCGCGGCCUAUCAGCUUGUUGGUGAGGUAAUGGCUCACCAAGGCGACGACGGGUAGCCGGCCUGAGAGGGCGAUCGGCCACACUGGGACUGAGACACGGCCCAGACUCCUACGGGAGGCAGCAGUGGGGAAUAUUGCACAAUGGGCGAAAGCCUGAUGCAGCGACGCCGCGUGAGGGAUGAAGGCCUUCGGGUUGUAAACCUCUUUCAGCAGGGAAGAAGCGAAAGUGACGGUACCUGCAGAAGAAGCACCGGCUAACUACGUGCCAGCAGCCGCGGUAAUACGUAGGGUGCAAGCGUUGUCCGGAAUUAUUGGGCGUAAAGAGCUUGUAGGCGGUUUGUCGCGUCUGCUGUGAAAUUUCGGGGCUCAACCCCGAACUUGCAGUGGGUACGGGCAGACUAGAGUGUGGUAGGGGAGACUGGAAUUCCUGGUGUAGCGGUGAAAUGCGCAGAUAUCAGGAGGAACACCGAUGGCGAAGGCAGGUCUCUGGGCCACUACUGACGCUGAGAAGCGAAAGCAUGGGGAGCGAACAGGAUUAGAUACCCUGGUAGUCCAUGCCGUAAACGGUGGGAACUAGGUGUGGGCCUCAUUCCACGAGGUCCGUGCCGCAGCUAACGCAUUAAGUUCCCCGCCUGGGGAGUACGG
rnacentral:rRNA from 1 species